AUGCAAAUCCACAGGGGAGAUCACUCAGGUUCGCUUCCAGAAGGGAUCCAGGGGCAGAGCCAACACCUUGUUCAUCUUUCUCAUGCCCAUUGCACUACUGUUCCUGCUCCGAGCGGUGCUCCAUUGACUACAGUGGUGGAUGCUCCACCAAACACAGUUGUUACGGAUGCAGAGAUAAGGUGGUGCAUUUAUGUGGGAGACAAGCUGAUUGAAAGUACUGACCCUCCUCUGCAGACGACUGUCUCCAAGUCGGUACCGGUUCAGGCGGGCGAAAAAAACCAGACAGGCCCAUCAACUGAUCCUGUUUUGGAACCUCAGUUUUCAGCUGCAGGUGAAAUGGACAUUCCGAGACAAAUUCAUGGGCCACAGCUGGGCCAACAGCAGUACCAACCCACUCAAAUAUUGCAAGGACAGAAAGGUAUUUGUAUGCUUCAAUCCACGGCUGCCUCUCCGUCUUCAACCCUGCACACCUCUCGUCAGCCUGAACCAGCAAACCCCAAUUCUUCCCCAAAUCUGCUCAGUUUGCCUGCACACUCUGCUCCUCUCACUUCUCAGAACCCAGCUAUGCCUACUCUCACUGCCACUAUGGAGAACAUUUUUCCAAUACAGAGAGGCAUCACUACUCUUUACCCUAGACCUUUGUCCUCUCCAUCUUCCUCCUGGCGCAGACUCCCUUCUCCACCAAAGCUCUCUCCUAAACGACCUAUUGCAGCCAUUCUGAAUCCCCCAUUGCCGCCGUCGAAGCGACUGGAGUUGACUGGCCCUUCAGAUGCACCUCCUUCCGCUCAGGAAGGCCCGACGGUCGGCGGAAUUGUUGCGGGCGCAGUUCGAGCCCCCGUUUCGUCGUCGCUCGAUCCCCUAGCUGGACCGGGCCUGCUCGGAGCGCCUCCUUCUAGCCUCGCCCCUCUCGCUCAUGCCUCCGCCACUCGAUCUGGGUCCUCUCCCCCUCUCCGAUCUGGAGACCCAACAGGAAGCGCCCGCCUUGCCGCCGAUUCCCCCUCUCGUUCCUUGCCAGAACCUCAUAUUACUAGAAAUCCAUCGGUCGACAGGAGCUGCCGUCGAUCUACUGCUUCUAGAUGGGAUGUUCCCCCAACUGGAAAUCUGGAGGUAUGCGUGCCUCUGCCAACCACUUUCCUCGCCGUUGCUAUGGUGAUAACACUUGGCAUCGGGAGGUUGUAUCCAAUCCGAUGGUUGGUAGCAGUAUGCUGUGCGGAAGCAGCAGCAAAUUUGUGGCAAACUUGGAUGUCAAUCCCGCUGUUAACCAAAUCAGCCUUACUGAGGAACAACGUAGAGAGGCAGCAGCAAGCUAUGAUCCAUACCCAAUUAGGACGCCUUCCCACUCUCUCAGUGCAGAUGCAGAUAGCUCUUACAAGGGUUCUAUCUCUCCUCCUAGACAUGAUCGCUUCCAGUACAUGGGUUUGGAUGAUGGUCAUAGCCCAUACGGCACCACAGGUCAGGCCCCCGUGGAAAAUCAAGAUAACACUAGCUCCACUCGCCAAGGUGUUCCGAUGGAUCUUCUCAUUGGUCAGCAAGCAGAUAACAAUGGGGUUACCAACAUGGAAUUUGGCAAUCAAGGAGAGGAUGGCAUGGAUUUCUCUGUUUCUUGGGCAGCGGCGCAUGGCCCUAACGCGCCUCAUGAGACAUGAAGGCAAUAGCUUGGAACUGCCGAGGUAUGGACAGGGGCCUUGGCAGUGA
rnacentral:rRNA from 1 species